rnacentral:rRNA from 1 species
AUCGAACGCUGGCGGCAGGCUUAACACAUGCAAGUCGAGCGGAGCGAGGGUGCUUGCACCUUAGCUUAGCGGCGGACGGGUGAGUAAUGCUUAGGAAUCUGCCUAUUAGUGGGGGACAACAUUCCGAAAGGAAUGCUAAUACCGCAUACGCCCUACGGGGGAAAGCAGGGGAUCUUCGGACCUUGCGCUAAUAGAUGAGCCUAAGUCGGAUUAGCUAGUUGGUGGGGUAAAGGCCUACCAAGGCGACGAUCUGUAGCGGGUCUGAGAGGAUGAUCCGCCACACUAGGACUGAGACACGGCCCAGACUCCUACGGAAGGCAGCAGUGGGGAAUAUUGGACGAUGGGCGGAAGCCUGAUCCAGCCAUGCCGCGUGUGUGAAGAAGGCCUUUUGGUUGUAAAGCACUUUAAGCGAGGAGGAGGCUACUUAGAUUAAUACUCUAGGAUAGUGGACGUUACUCGCAGAAUAAGCACCGGCUAACUCUGUGCCAGCCGCCGCGGUAACAC